UAGGGAAUCUUCCGCAAUGGACGCAAGUCUGACGGAGCAACGCUGCGUGAGUGAAGAAGGAUUUCGGUUCGUAAAACUCUGUUGUUAGAGAAGAACAGCGCAUAGAGUAACUGUUAUGCGUGUGACGGUAUCUAACCAGAAAGCCACGGCUAACUACGUGCCAGCAGCCGCGGUAAUACGUAGGUGGCAAGCGUUGUCCGGAUUUAUUGGGCGUAAAGCGAGCGCAGGCGGUCAAUUAAGUCUGAUGUGAAAGCCCCCGGCUCAACCGAGGAGGGUCAUUGGAAACUGGUUGACUUGAGUGCAGAAGAGGGGGGUGGAAUUCCAUGUGUAGCGGUGAAAUGCGUAGAAAUAUGGAGGAACACCAGUGGCGAAGGCGACUCUCUGGUCUGUAACUGACGCUGAGGCUCGAAAGCGUGGGUAGCAAACAGG
rnacentral:rRNA from 1 species